CGCCUCUCAGAAGCUGCAAGAGGGCGGACCAUGCCGUCCGAGGGUCGCUGCUGGGAGACCCUGCAGGCUCUGCGCAGUUCCAACACAGGUCGCCUUUGCUACCACCGCGACUGGCUGCUGCGGGGCGAGGAUGUUUUAGAAGAAUGUAUGACUCUUCCCAAACUAUCUUCUUACUCUGGAUGGGUGGUAGAUCAUGUCCUACCGCAUACACAGGAGAACCCACCACCCUCUGAGACCUCACCAUCUCCUAGGUACACUUCAGCCCUAGACCAAGCCUCAUGUGUUCUCAAAUCUCCUGUCAGAAACUCCGCCUGCUCACCAGCCUCCUCUGCAACACCGAAUGGAACCAAGGACAAACAGGAGUCCCCACAUACAGAAUCUGUGGUACUUCAAUCUUCCCGGGGAUCAAAGUGGAAGGCUGCAUCCGAAUGUACGAACUGGUACACAGAAUGAGAGGAACGGAAGGCCUGCGGCAAUGGCAGGAGGAGCAGGAGAGGAAGGUGCGGGCCCUCUCGGAGAUGGCAUCGGAACAGCUGAAGCGGUUUGAUGAACAGAAGGAACUGAAACAGCAUAAAGAAUUCCAGGACCUGCGGGAGGUGAUGGAGAAGAGCUCCAGAGAAGCCUUGGGGCACCAAGAGAAGCUAAAAGCUGAGCAUCGCCACCGAGCAAAGAUUCUCAACCUGAAGCUGCGGGAGGCUGAGCAGCAGCGCCCGAAGCAAGCAGAGCAGGAGCGGCUGCGGAGGGAAGAAGGCCAGGGCCGCCUGCGCAGCCUGUACGCCCUGUAGGAGGAGGUACCGCAGCUCAGCCAGCAGCUGGACGCCUCUGAGCAGCACAGGGACCUGCUGCAGAUCGACCUGGCGGCGGCCCGCACACGAGGCAACCAGCUGUGCAGCCUCAUCUCAGGGAUCAUUCGGGCCACUUCAGAGAGUGGCUAUCCUACAGCAGAGAACCAAGCUGAGGCUGAGCGAGCUCUGCAGGAAAUCCGGGACCUUCUUACAAACUUGGGGCAGGAGAUCACCAGAGCCUGUGAAGACAAGAAGUGGCAAGAUGAAGAGGAGGCCCAAGUAAAGCUGCAGGAGUCACAGAUGCAGCAGGGACCAGAGGCUCACAAAGAGUCCCCAGCUCCCAGCCAGGGCCCAGGAGGGAAACAGAAUGAAGACCUACAGGUGAAGGUACAAGACAGCACAAUGCAGUGGUACCAGCAGCUGCAGGAUGGUGCCACACAGUGUGUGUUGGCUUUUGAGGGCCUCACCAACAGCAAAGACAAUCAGGCCAAAAAGAUAAAGAUGGAUCUUCAGAAGGCCGCCACCAUCCCAGUGAGCCAAAUCUCCACUAUUGCAGGUUCAAAGCUGAAGGAGAUAUUUGACAAGAUCCACAGCCUGCUCUCUGGAAAAACUGUUCAAUCUGGUGGGCGUGCUGUAUCUGUCACACUUACCCCACAGGGGCUGGAUUUUGUCCAGUACAAACUGGCAGAGAAAUUUGUGAAACAAGGCGAGGAGGAGGUGGCUUCUCAUCACGAGGCAGCGUUCCCCAUCGCGGUUGUGGCAUCUGGUAUCUGGGAUCUCCACCCCAGAGUUGGGGAGCUCAUUCUUGCUCAUCUGCACAAGAAGUGUCCUUACUCUGUCCCUUUCUAUCCAGCUUUCAAGGAGGGAAUGGCUUUGGAAGACUAUCAGAGGAUGCUUGGCUACCAAGUGAAGGAUUCCAAAGUGGAGCAACAGGACAAUUUUCUAAAACGCAUGUCUGGGAUGAUCCGUCUCUAUGCUGCCAUCAUUCAGCUCCGGUGGCCUUAUGGAAACCGACAAGAGGUUCAUCCUCAUGGCUUAAAUCAUGGCUGGCGCUGGUUGGCACAGAUCUUAAACAUGGAGCCCCUGUCAGAUGUUACAGCCACCCUCCUCUUUGACUUCUUGGAGGUGUGUGGGCAUGCCCUCAUGAAGCAGUACCAGGUCCAGUUUUGGAAAAUGAUAAUUCUCAUCAAAGAGGACUACUUCCCCAGAAUUGAAGCCAUCACAAGCACAAGACAGAUGGGUUCCUUCAUACGCCUCAAGCAGUUCUUGGAGAAAUGUUUGCAACGCAAGGAGAUACCUGUCCCCAAGGGCUUUCUGACAUCCUCCUUCUGGCGCUCCUGAUGUCACUCCAUCACCCAUUAUCGCCAUCGUGUUGCAAAGAGGCAAUAAUAAAGCAACUGAAGACGGCUGCAUAUGGGAGAAGUCACAUCAGAUUUAGAAAUGUGCCAAUAUUUAUUUUUAUAUAUUUAUACCCUGUGACUUGGAGAGGAGAUUUUCAUGAGCCACAAAGUCUUGGGGGUCCCUUAGUAGAUUGGGUAGCUCCUUAAGAGGUCACAUGAUAGAGUAAAUGGAAUUGGCCUUUCUUAUUUUUGCAAAAGUAAUGAGAAAAGGUGUUUAGCACCAAGUCUCAUCCUUUAUUCCUUGUGUCUCUAGUAUCUCUCAAAAAGUUGGUAAUACCUCAACCAUUUCACUCUAAACUAGAGUGAGCUCACAGUUUUCACCACCCAUCCACCCCACCCCACCCCUAUCCAGAUGAAUUCCCAGAAAAAGUAAAGACUCAUAAUGUCCCCUCUAAAGUAUCAUUUAGUAGUUGAGGCCAAACCCUUAUGCAAGUCUGGGUUAUGGUUGUUUUGCCUUUCUCAGCUUGUGAAAAUUCUAAAUCCAGAGGAAAUGUGCUGUGAAUGCAUAGGUUAAGCCCCAGAUGGCAUCAGGGAUAGCUUAGUGUCUGAGAUUAGGACUGGAAACACACAUAACAUUGAACUAAGGUGCACUCUUUGUCAUGUUA